ensembl:lncRNA
GGACUAGAUGUCCAGGGAGGCUGGUCAGGUCCUCUAGAUAAAAGACAUGUCACUAGUGGUUUUGAUGAUGCUAUUACAUCAGGAGGACUAGAUAUCCAGGGAGGCUGGUCAGGUCCUCUAGAUAAAAGACAUGUCACUAGUGUUGUUGAUGAUGUUAUUACAUCAGGAGGACUAGAUGUCCAGGGAGGCUGGCCAGGUCCAGCAGAUCAAAAUAAAGAUCAUGUAGAUAAAGGUCACAGGUGGUUGAGGUCACAGGCAGGUCACAAGGCUGCCUCUCUUCUCAAUUCCAUAACACACACGUUGACAUGCACCCACCCACAUGCGUGUUGUGAGGUCCUCUGAAGAGACACUAAGAGGGUGUUGUGGAGGACAGGCAGGGUGAUGAAUAGGAAGAGACGUGAUAGUCCGGCGUCCCAUUGUGUUGUCCGGCGUCCCACCUCCCCACAAUCCCCAGCCAACGCGGCUCCGCGUUCUCGUCCUCUAUGCGUUCUAAUGUGUUGACAGUUGGAGAAAUUGCUUGAGCCACGCUAAGAAUUCAAAGUAUGAAAGUCAAUGGUCCGACAUUCUAGAACACUGCUGUGUUUACACAUACACGUUUUGGACUCUGAUAGCCGCUUUAGACUCAGGCAUCGGUGAGCAGACAGGGAAAGAGAGCGAGAGAGAAAGAUAGAGAUGGAUAGAGUAAGAGGGAGAGGAGAGAGAGAGAGGGAAAGAUGGAGAGAGAGAGAGGCAGAGAGGGAGACAGAGAGAGAGAGAGGGAGCUGCAGAGAGAGAGAGAGAGAGAGAGCAGCAGAGAGAGAGAGAAUAAGAGAGAGAGAGAGAGCUGCAGAGAGAGAGAGAGAGAGAGAGCUGCAGAGAGAGAGAGAGAAUAAGAGAGAGAGAGAGAGAGAGAGAGGGAGCUGCAGAGAGAGAGAGAGAGAGAGGGGGAGCUGCAGAGAGAGAGAGAGAGAGAGCAGCAGAGAGAGAGAGAGAGAGAGCUGCAGAGAGAGAGAGAGAGAGAGCUGCAGAGAGAGAGAGAGAGAGGGAA